AUACGUAGGUGGCAAGCGUUAUCCGGAAUUAUUGGGCGUAAAGGGUGCGUAGGCGGUUUAUUAAGUCUAUGGUGAAAGUGCGGGGCUCAACCCCGUAUGGCCAUAGAAACUAGUAGACUUGAGUGCAGGAGAGGGCAAUGGAAUUCCAUGUGUAGCGGUAAAAUGCGUAGAUAUAUGGAGGAACACCAGUGGCGAAGGCGGCUCACUGGCCUGUUACUGACGCUGAGGCUCGAAAGCGUGGGGAGC
rnacentral:rRNA from 1 species